rnacentral:misc_RNA from 1 species
AUUUUGAUUCUUCGUUUUAAAAAAUGUUAACCGUAUAAAAUCUCUUACCACUAAUCACUACAUUGGAAGCAUCUUCCCAAUUAGGAUGAUUGGGGACCAAGAAUGACUAUAGGGUGAAUAGGGUCUGGGAAAGAAACUGAUUCAUGAGUCAUGACCUUCUUUUGGGCUGGAUAAAAGCCGAAUGUUUGGACAUUUUGGCAAAAAAUUUACUGCGCCUUGAAAUGGCAAUGCUAAUUUGGAUCUUUGCUCUUG